AGUGAACGCUGGCGGUAGGCCUAACACAUGCAAGUCGAACGGCAGCACAGUAAGAGCUUGCUCUUACGGGUGGCGAGUGGCGUACGGGUGAGGAAUACAUCGGAAUCUACUUUUUCGCGGGGGAUAACGUAUGGAAACUUACGCUAAUACCGCAUACGACCUACGGGUGAAAGCAGGGGAUCUUCGGACCUUGCGCGAUUGAAUGAGCCGAUGUCGGAUUAGCUAGUUGGCGGGGUAAAGGCCCACCAAGGCGACGAUCCGUAGCUGGUCUGAGAGGAUGAUCAGCCACACUGGAACUGAGACACGGUCCAGACUCCUACGGGAGGCAGCAGUGGGGAAUAUUGGACAAUGGGCGAAAGCCUGAUCCAGCAAUACCGCGUGAGUGAAGAAGGCCUUCGGGUUGUAAAGCCCUUUUGUUGGGAAAGAAAAGCAGCAGGUUAAUACCCCGCUGUUCUGACGGUACCCAAAGAAUAAGCACCGGCUAACUUCGUG
rnacentral:rRNA from 1 species